rnacentral:lncRNA from 1 species
UUGUGGGUUCCUUGUCAGUGUGGUGUGUGUCGGAUCUGGCUUUUGUACAGUCGUGAUGUCGGAUCUUUGUUCGUGCAUUCUAGUGCAUUAUAGGGUCAUUGGUUGGCUUAGUUUUGUGUCACGUCUCCAACCUUCUGUUUGCGAUGGAUCCGCGGGUAUUUUACCUUUCUUUCGAUAAGUACGUUGGCCGCAGACAACAUAGUGUUGAAAGUUAGGACAAGAUACCCUACCCCUUUUGGGAAAUAUCUGGAUUGGGUCGGUAUUUCUUUUCUCUUGCAUGAGAGGUGACUGUUAUCUUUGAUCAUCUAGUGAGCCUAGUGGUUGGCUCAGAGGUCGCAACUUGCGUUGUUGUACAAGGUAUAUGUUUUAGUUUACCUUGGAUACCUUGGUUGGGAUUGGGUCGUUGUUCGGUCACUUGGUGAAAAGUAUGUUGGAGUCUCGAUGAGACGGGCAUUUAGUGUUGCAAGGAACAUCGAUCGCUAGGGUUCCUUGGGGAUGACAGCGACAGGGUCUCGUAGAGACAGGUGUUUGGCAUCACUGGUGGUUACGGUCGCAUAUUGCGAGAGGCAACCUUGUUCACCUAGUGACAGACAUGUAUUGGUUUAUGUUGAUCUGUUUGUAUCCGAAUGAGAGUUGCGCAGGCUUAAUUGUAAGGCAAUUGGUAUGGUACUGGCAGCCUUAGACCUUUUGGUCUAGGCAAAUGGGUCUUGGACCUAAGAGAGUCGGGUGCCAUCGAGGGGUUCCGAUUGAUACGUUUUGGCUUUGUCAGGUUAUAGUUUGGUUCGUAGGGAGGUUGUAGCCUCCGAGGUGAGUGUUUGUACUCUAGCAUUGGAUCACCCCUUUCUGUGAACAAGUUUCGAGGACGAAACUUUCUUUAAGGGGGGGUGAUGUAAGGACUGAGAUUUUUGCAGUGUAGCUAAACUCUCAGUUGACGAUAUUUUUGUGUGUAAUUUAAUUACAAAAGCACUCGUCAAGUUUCGGGAGAAAAUGAGUUAAAACGGAGAUUCUACGCGAUUUCUAAGUUUCACUUAAAGUGAAUAGUAACUCGGUUUUUCGAAGAAGCCCCAGUGUGAAGUUGGCUUCAGGCUCGUAUCGGACUCCGUUCAUAGCAGUCCAAUAGCUCGUUUCGACCGGUUCAGCUGUUCUGGAACUACUGGCGCUGGUGGAUUUUGGGUUUGACGCACGAAUUUCGAGAAAAUCUGAAAAUACACGUUUUAUAUGUAAUUGUGCGUCAUUUUUGGCCUUUUGGAGAGAAAGUGGAUUUUGUCACGAAUCCGUGAUCGAACGAGGCGAACCAAAAUGAUAGCUUUGUUGUCUCCGUCGUACUGAUCGCAUUGGUGCGAUCCGUUGGCAAAUCUGACGGACGGAUCUGCGGAGAUUACGCGUUGAUCGAGGAGAGGUCGGUGAUGGCAAAACGGUAAUUUCGCAAAAGUCGCGACAUUUUAUGUACCAUUUUGCGU